UACGGGGGGGGGCAAGCGUUGUUCGGAAUUACUGGGCGUAAAGGGCUCGUAGGCGGCCAACUAAGUCAGACGUGAAAUCCCUCGGCUUAACCGGGGAACUGCAUCUGAUACUGGAUGGCUUGAAUCCGGGAGAGGGAUGUGGAAUUCCAGGUGUAGCGGUGAAAUGCGUAGAUAUCUGGAGGAACAUCGGUGGCGAAGGCGGCAUCCUGGACCGGUAUUGACGCUGAGGCGCGAAAGCCAGGGGAGCAAACGGG
rnacentral:rRNA from 1 species